ACAACUUUCAUGGUUUAAUAUUAACUUCACCGGAACUGAUUGUGUAUCUUCCUUGUUGGAUUCUGCUUCAAAUCAAUUUGAGAAAAUUUAGCAUGGCGAGAAGCUGGGCAGAUCUCCCACAAGAGUUGUUACGACAAUGCUCGCGACGCCUUUGUCCGAAGAAUUUAUCGGUGUUCCGAGCAGUGUGCCGCUCGUGGCGAUCUGCUGCUGUCAAAGAGUGGAGUGACGUCCCAAGUCUGAUGCUCGCGGACAAAGGGGAAAUGCUGUGGCGUGAGUUUUUCUGCCUCCGAUGUGAGCAGUUUCACACAAAGCUCCUGCCAGAAGUGAUGGCGAACAGAUAUUUCUCUUCGCGAGAUUGGGUGUUAACUAUCAGCAGAGACUGGGAAUUCCAAAUGCUAAGGAAUCCCAUGUUGCGUUACAGUCGUAUAAUUAAGCUUCCUAGUUGGAAUAAGUUCCCCGACAUCUAUGUUUUGCCUCCAUUUUAUGUUAGCUUCAUCACUAAGUUCGUCCUAUCUGAUAGCCCUACUACAUCUCAAGAUUACAAGGUCAUGGUCAUCUAUGAUCACGGACGAAGGUUAGGUCUUUGGAAACCUGGUGACGAGGAGUGGACAGCAGUGACCUCCCCCGCGGUUGAAUAUUGCGACGUCAUAUAUCAUAAGGGGUGCUUCAUUGCUCUUGAUGGUGAGGGUGGCAUAUAUAGGUGCGAUGUGGAUGGAUCAACUCCGUUUGAGGCUCAAGUUGUUUUUGAGAUGCCGGAAAGACUUCUAGAACCAUUCGGUCUAGUUCAAUUGUAUUUAGUGCAAGCAAUGACAGGAUCUCUGUUGUUUGUGUCACAAUGGGAAGAUUGCUCGGAUUUCAGCAUGAGUAGACGAAGACCUACUGGAUCCUAUCGAUUUGACGUUUUCGAGAUUGACCUGGAUACUCAGACAUACACAGAAGUUUUGAGCUUGGAGAACAAGUCCCUCUUCUUGGGCCACAAUUCUUCCUUCUGUUUGGAGGUCGAUGAAAAUCAUAUAAUUGAGUCAAAUUGUAUUUAUUUCACUAAGUAUAAUAUCCCACCAUCCCAAUUUACUGAAGAUGGAGGAGUCACAAACAUGGGAAUAUACCACCUCAAAGAUGGUACGAUCAAGCCGCAUGUCAAAGGGAAAUCCUCUCCUCUGCUUUGGAUUGAACCAAGCUUUUAAGCCAUAGCUGUUUGGCUUGUUAUCAUUGAUAAGGUGAGCAGAUUAGUGGACUGUUCUGUGAUAAAUAUGGUUGGUGUAUAAAGUUGGCAAUUCAUUUUAAAAACAUGAAAUUGUUAGGUCAUUGGACAUGAAUGUGUGCUUUCAAUGCUUGCUGUUUGCUUUGAGGGUAAUCAAUUGUUAAGUGUGAACAAAUUGUCUGGUGGGUUGUUGCUGAUUGAUGAUACAAACAGAAGAAUUGAGAUGCACCUCAUUCGCUUAUUUGAAUUACUUGCUGUUUGUUAUUUUUUCCAAAAAGAAAGAGAUCAAGUAUAAAAAUAUUUCCAUUAAUGAAAGAUGUAUCCAUUGGAAAAUCAAAACUACGCAUGUUUAUGUAUCAGAUUGUUUGGUUUUGCUUGAUGAAUAUGCUUAUGCAUUGGACCUUGCCAUCUCAGUGUCAGUUUUAAUCAAGAGCAAUGCUUCCUGUGUCAUAUGAUGCAUGAAUCAUGUGAAAUUACUAUAUUAAUUUUUUAGGAGGUUCUGCUUUUCCGUCGACAGACGUUUUAACGGUGUCUGCCCACUGGAAAAGGUUAUAAGUACUCGUCUAGACAAUGCUUAUAGGAAUAUACACAAUCAAAGCUGUAGAAGGCGUGACCACUUUUUAUGUGACAAAAGGGCCGUUUUUCACGUGUCUUUUGCCUGAAAUUUUUUCCAUUCAUUUAUGGAAAGUAAGUUGAGUUAUUUUCACUCAUUUCAGUAUCAUAUGGGAUUAUAUUCUUAAAUUGGAUAUCCUGUUUUAAUGAUCUUUUCGACAUGGCAAAAAAGCACAGCAUGAUUUUCAAGGGAAUGCUUGGACUUGCAGGAGAUGGAGCAUCUAAGAGCUGCACUGGGAAAUGAAGCUUUUAAGAUUGAGCUGUUUGAUGAAAUUACUCUGAUGAAUGAUGAUGGAGCUGUAUUUUUAUUGUUUCUUUGGUGUUGCUAAGUGAUCGGAAGAUAUGGAGCGAUUCCAUGUUCUGGUUUUUCAACCACUUGGUGUAGAGUUGUUUGGAAAUGCUACUAAUUGCUUGUUUGCUUGGGCAGGACACUUUACUUUUGAGGAACCCAUUGUGGAAUUUGUUUUUUGUACUUUGAAGAUCUCAAGUCCCAAAUGUGAAGUCUCUUGUCAUACUGAUUGAUUGCUCAGCGCUGAUUGGAGAACUUUGUCCCUUUUGCCUUUUGUUUUUCUGGGUGGAAAGUUGUGUUCGCUUUGAGAUCUGAAUCUCCGGAGGGCUUGAGAAUAUUACUUUCACUCUUGCAAGAAUUGAAUACAUUGCUGUUGAAAUGGGUAGAAACGUGGCUUGUGUUGCCGAGUUUCAAAUGUGCUGAAGUGAUCUAAUUCGGAUCGUGGCCCAUUCACCCGUGGGGACUUCUCCAGUUCUCUCUAAGCUCGCUCUUCGUGUGUGGAAUGGAGGUGUACGGCUUCUUACAAGGUUGUUGGCUUUGGUUACUUAACUUAUGCUAUGUUCGGGAAGCACCACGACCACAAUCUCAACUUGUCUGGAAUGACUGAUAAAAUGCGGUGUGUUGUCGAUUUGUGCUA